rnacentral:tRNA from 1 species
UCCCUGGUUCAAAUGGUAAAGCAUCUGCCUGCAAUGCAGGAGACCCAGGUUCAACCCCUGGGUUGGGAA